ACUGCACAGCAGCUCCCGAGCUGCAGGGAGAGCGGGAGUGCACGGGCACCAAACUGCGCCUCUUGGGGGUGCUGCAGCGGAUUUUCUAACAGAUAUUUUCCUCUCCUUUAUUCUAGGAUCUGGAAGAACUGUGCCUCACCUCCGUCUCUCUGCCUCUGACUGCUCCCUCUACUCCCCAGGCCUUGCUGUCAGCACCUGCAACAGAGCUGUCCCUGCUGUGGUCUGGGGAAAGUUCCAGCCAGGCCCUCUGUGGCGCAUCUAUCCCUGGGGUGGGGCAUCCAGGGUAUUGAAUCUACAAAAUGCAUCCAUUUCACCUCCAAGUCAGCUCUGUGCACACCAAGCCGUGUGCAGGAUAGGCUACCCUAGAGAGCCUGGGUACCCACGCAGCCUUCCACGAAGCCCCACCUACAUGGCUGCUGCAGGUUCUCACCAUCCUGUGCUCACCGGGAAGGCUGGCAGGUCCACACCGGAAACCAUGGGCUGGGGAGAAGCAGGGCCUUGGUGCUAGAGAGACCUGCCCAAGCAUUCUUCUGCAAGCCCCGAGACAGAGGAGUGAGCAAGCCUCAGGGGCGUGACAGGUGCUCAGGAGAGAGCAGGACACAUGCAGAACCUGGAGAGAGCCAGAGAGGGACCGGCCACAGAGAAGCCCAUCGCCUGCCAGCACUGACGUGGACGUUGGGAAAAGGUUUCUGCUGGUGGCCCAGCCCUGGCUGGGAUUCCUCACUCCCACGCCUCAAGCCUGAGAAUCCUUCCGGAAACACAAGGCUGGACCUGCACCUGCCAGGUGACCAUGGCCUCGGUGUGGGAGCAACAUGGGGAGACCUGGGUCCCUGAGUGGCCAUGACCAUCGACCUGGAGCAAUCAGCUCAGGACUGUUAGGUGGGAGCAGCAAUCAUCCAGCUCCUUCAAGCUGCAGCAUCCAGGGGUCUCUUCAUUCCAUUAUGGAUAUAGCCUAAGAAAUGGUGACAGUAAAGGGUCUCAUACAACACGUCCCAUUUUUAUUAAUUUUAAUAAAUAGGAGAAAUUGAAUAUAAAAAAAAAAAAAAA
rnacentral:lncRNA from 1 species